AAACUGUCAUUCUUUGAUCAAAGACUGGAGAGGUGUAAGCUCUGCUCAGAACACCUGCUCUGGCAAUAGGCCACGGGCAGGGCUGCUUUAUAGCGAUCAGCUGGGAGCAGUUGGGGCCGAGCCCUUCAUGUCUCGGGCUGUCCACACUCCAAGCGCGGUGCGGGCGCCCAGGCCUCCAUCUUGCAUCUCACUGUGAGCCCGGCGCUUGCGCACACAGCUUGCCUGCUAUGCUGAGGGGUGGGUGCAGCCGCUUGCCACGAGGAGGAGCUCUGGUCUGAAGCCCCUGGUGCGAGGUCUCUGCUCAGACCACCCUGUGAGCAAGUGAAACUCAACCAAGCACGAAGGAAAGAAAGGACAAGGGGACGGACACUAAGAAGGGGAUGUAUUGUCUGCGUGUGUUGCCUUCACACCUUUGAAUUCUAAAGGGAUGGCAGGGGCAGCUAACAGAGAGCAGAGAGGAGGCAUCCGGAAUCCCAUGUGGCACAUUUAUGUCAACUGCAUGUCAAUCAGAUGCAAGUGAAGACUAAGCAGUUCCAGCACGGGAACCUCUGAAAAUCAAGACCACAUCAUCCUGAUGUUUUGGCAUUUUGCCCACUGCCUCAGCAUGUGCUUUUAAAGAGAGCUCUCUAUUGCCGUCUCAUGGUGAAUGAGUGAAUGGCUGGGAUUAGGAGACAAAACUGGCUACCACCACUAAGCAGAAAGAUUCCACAAAGGCAAAGGGGAAGCUUACAUGAAGCAGACCUGAGUUCCUGCUAUUACUUAUGUGCAACAUCAGAAAGAGAAUUCCAUGGUAAGUGUAGACAGUCUCUAAGGUUUGAGGCUCACCAUAUGAAGGAAUGUUUUCCUGGAAAGCUCUUCUUCUCCAGUCUGGCAUUCAUCCUUCUGAAACAUUUACCCUUCUGUCAGCUGGUCCUCUGGCCUAUUAAAACCAGAUCCCAGGUAAGGUCCCGAUGUCUACCUUGCAAAGGUAUUGGAUGGGGUAUCCUUUUGACUGGGAAAUGAAAUGUUGAUGUCCUGUGAAGGAAAAUUUAAUCCCCAGUAUGGUGGACAAGGAAAGCAUUGUUUUUGUUGGUUUCCUUUCUUUUUGUGUUUAAACUAGUAGGGUGUGGAGGACAGGGGAGAAGUGCCCUAUCCACAGUGCCUGAGGGCAGCUUAGCAACCCAGGAGUGUGUAGAGAGAAACUGGCUUAGCUGGUAUAGGAAGUUCUGUAGGAAACAUUCAUGGGCUCUGAGAAGUUGCAUUUCUAUCAAUGGGAGAUUUUCGGUUUUUUUAACUUUUUUGAAGUGUGGAGAUUUCUUAAUUUUCUCAAGAGUAAAAGUUUAACGAGUACUGUUUUCUUUUAGUUGAAGUUGAUGUCUCAUCCAGCCUUAAUGUUGCUAGUAGCAGGGCUAUUCUUAAAACCAUUCCUAAAAAAGAAUCAGCUACCUCACCAGAAACUGCCACAGCAUUCCUCGACUCUUCAGAAAUUCCAUUUCAUGCCAUUCUUAUUUGGAACAUACUUUGCAAUUAACAGUGUUCUAGUUCCUGUGAAUUGUGAAAAGAAUGAAUAGUGGGAGUUCCCAUUGUGGCUCAGCAGUAACAAACCAGAUUAGUACCCAUGAGGAUGGACAUUUGAUCCCUGGCCUGCUCAGUGGGUUAAGGAUCUGGCGUUACCUUGAGCUGUGGUGUAGGUCACAGAUGCGCCUCAGUUGCUGUGGGUGUGGCUGUUGCUGUGGUGUAGGCCGGCAGCAAUAGCUCCAACUUGACCCCUAGCUUGGGAACUUACAUAUGCCCAAAGUGUGGCCCUAAAAAGCAAAAAAAAAAAGGAACAUGGAUCUAAAUAUCACACUUAUUUGUUUCAAAAAAUGAUAAAGCCAAGACUUAGAUUGAUAGUUGGAUAGGGAAGAAAAUAGGAUCUUUUGCCCCUCCUUUGAUGUCCCCAUAUUUUAUUUCUGAAAUAAAUAACCCAUAAAUAAUUGGCCUAGGCCUAGUAAAAGGAUAAUAAAAUGAUUUAGUUUUAUAAAUGGUGAUAGGUAGGAAACACUAUAGAACUGGUGACUUUCUUCUAAAGUUUUGGUUAAGCCAUUGGAGACUUUGCUGUCCAGAAGGUAGGGAUGUUGGCUCUGCCCUAAUUAUCUCAAAUAGCAAGUCUGUUUGGCCCCCAGGAAGGCGGCCAGAUAACGAAUGUGGACAUUACUUUUCUCAGCUCAAAUUGAGAAAAAAAAACUUUACAGAGCUUUGAGGAAGGCAGAUACCAGCAGCCUCUUUUAUGGUGGGUGUGAACACAAAUCAAAGACUCCAGCCGAAAACAUCCUCCACCUGGCGACUUCCAGGAUUUAAAAAAAAAAAAGCAAAAAAAAAAAAAAAAAAAAAAAAACACAAGAGUUCCCCGAUUGUGUAGAUUCUGGUUACAAUGAGCUACAAAUCAUUCCAUAGCUUUCCUUUGGGAACUUCACAAGACACAGAAGUAGCUCAGAAGAUGCUAUUUUUAGAGUGUCAAAUAGGUUUAUCUCAUGCAGCAUCUAGGCUGUGAUAAGAAGAUUGUGAUUAGCAGUGCUCCAGAGAAGAAAAAAGAAACAUUCACUCUCCUUUGGAUAUUUUAGAGCUCAAGUUCUGCCUCUUGCAAGCUGCUGAAUCCUUUUGCAGUGGCCUCUAUGGGGGUAUCACCAGGCAAAGGGAAAUGAGACUGGCACUCAUAAGUCAUUAUUUCUGAAAAAUGUCUGUUCACGUAAUCCCUUUUUUCUGGACACCAUAUCUCAGACUCACAGCACUGCAUGGCAGGUGGCGCCCGCAGUAAGGUGUUAACGCUUGGACAGCAGACUUGCUUCAUAUCUGAUUACUUUAUAACAGUGAGUUGUAGGAAACUGUGUCCAAUAUGAAUUAACUCUGCUUAGGGGUAUGUGGAGGUCCAGGAAAGUGGUAUGAAAUCGUGCUCUAGAAAACCCCAGCUGCACAGGCUGAGGCUAAAUUUGUGACUUGAACAGCAAUGUAUCAUUCUUACCAAGUUAGGAGAGCCUCUCUAAACCCCCAAUUAAAUUUUUGAUUGUUAUGGACUCUCAUAACAAUAGGAUUGGAAGCGUCAUUGAAGAGCUAAACAUUUAACCUGCCAACACAUCUGUUUUAUAUUAGCUGCUAACACUUUUCCCCACCACACACAACCCAUCUGAGUAACAGACAUACCAGUGUGUGUGUAUAAAAUGUAUAUUUGAUACACUUUAAUUUAAAAAAUAAAAAUAAAAAUAUGCGCUUUCACUGCUGUUGUUGUUCCCAUUGGCAAGCAGCUAAGAUCACGGGGUAACAAAAGCUCUAGCAAACUAUUCAGUCCACUGUGAUGUAGGUUUCAGGCAUCACUGGGACAAUGUCUGAGUUUCUCUGACCCUUUAUUUCUCAAAGUGAUUUCAUUCUGAUUCCUCCCGGGUCAAGCUGGGAUGCCUUACACUGGUGACUUGGAGAACAAGAAAACAGUGCUACUUCUUCCUUCAUAACAAUAUAACUGAUGGGCUCAACAUUGUAAUCAGGUCAGUAAACUGCAUGUUUUACUGAUACUACUCGUCAAAUAGUUACACACUAGGUAAGGGGGAGUGAGGAAAUCCUUUUUUACUAACUAAAAAUGCUAUUUGACAAUACAGAGAAAAAAACCAUUAUAAUAAUCUGGUUUUCAUUGGCCUCGAUGGCGUACAGUUUAAUAUGUAUGUCUUUUGCAUUAAUAGGCAAAGAUAUUUACCUGUUGGGCAAACAAGGAAGCCUGCAUUCUCUGAAGAAAGGAUUAGAGGAACAGUCUAAAUGAAUGAGAUGUAACCAGAUAUCUGAGACAGCACACCUUCUUAUCUAAUAUAAUAUUUGGCCAGAGAAAGGAUAUUAUUUUAUAAGAGUAACCUUAUAAGAUAGAGGCCACCUGAUCAUCAUGAUCCAAACCUUUAUUUUCUAUCAAAGCAGGUCCCUUUGGGAAAGAUAUACUUAGAAAAUCAUGCUUUGUAUUCCUAUGCAGACUUUUUAGUGACAAAGUUAAUUUUACCUCUGAGACUUAAAUUGUGAAUAUGUUUUUAGAUAUAGUCAUUUUCUAAAUGUGCUGGAUUUAGCAUGGCUGAGGUAAUAUGAUUAUCUCAAAGAAAUAGACUUUUGUCUUGCAAAGCAUUCUUUUCAGGUUGAUGACUUUCAAAUAUCUUUAAUUACUUCAAGGACUCUAUACACACUCCUUUUUUUUUUUUUUUCACAUUUUUCUCCCAUAUAGGUUAUUACAGAAUAUUGAGUAGAGUUCCCUGUGCUAUAUAGAAGAUCCCUGUUGACCAUCCCUUCCAUAUACAAUUAUACAUACUCCCUUUUGGAUAACCUUUUAUUUCCCUACCCAGAUGCUUAUUUGUACUUAUAACCAUUUGACAGACUUUUCUUCAUUUCUUAAAAAUAAGGACCUCUCUUCUUACCCUGCGUUUCUUCAUCUGUUCUCUUAAAUCCACUUCCUUCCUCAUCCAUACAGACGUCCCAUUUCCUAACAUUUCUUUCUCCUACAUGAUUAAUUUAUCUUUGAUACUGGCUCAUUUUCCUUACUUUUUAAGAGAGCCGAGUGUAUUCCAUUCUCAAACUACCUAACUUGACACUGUGUUUCCCUGACAUUGCGUUUUCCCACUGUUUCUUCUGACACAUCUCCUGUAAAUUUCUUACUCUAUCUUUAUUCCUCUUUUUCUAUAUUAUUAACUGUAUUCUUUUCUCUCAUUUACCUUUUACUCCUCAAUUCACUGUGAUUCACUUUUAGCCUCCCACACUUUGUAAACUGCUCUUGAAGCUUAUGAACUAAUAUCUCAUUGCCAAUUCCAAGGAACAUUUUCCAAUUUGCAGCUUCCAUGUUUCUCUUAUGCAUGUUGACUUGUUCUAUGUGCUUGGUGUUGGUAACACCAUCUUCUCCUAGUUACCUUGCUCUGUCUGUGACCAUUUAUGUUCCUCCUAACCCUUCAAGUGUGGUGAACAGCCGACUUCUGACUUUUGCCCAAUAUUCUUCUUAUUUUACACAUCAUUCUUUAGUGGUAUCAUCUAGCUCCAGUCCUUUGCUCCAUCACUCCCAGUGCAUAUCUUUGGGACACACUUUUCUUUAAGUUUCUGUAGAUAAGCUUGCUGGACAUUUGAGACAUUGAGCUGUCCCAAACACUCCUUAAACUCAAUAUGCCCCAAAUUAAAUGUAUCAGUUCCCCCAGUUAUAAUUUAGACUCAUUCUAUCAUCAGUAUUUUUUUUUUUAGAAAUUCAGAAGUACCAAAAUUUAUAAAGAAUAAGUUAGCAAUUGCUGCUAUAUAUGAGUGAUAGAAAGAUACUUUUUAGGUCCAGGUUCAGGGACAGAUCAAUGUUAUCCCUGUUCCCAGCUUUAUAUAAGAAGACUAGAUCUGGUUUCCUACUAUAUUCAGAGAAGCCCCUUAACUCCUGACUUUAGAUAGGUGUAAAACCUCAGCCUUUAAUUAAAGAAUAUCUUAUCUUGUACCUCCUUUGUCCUAGCCUUCUUGUAUCACUUCCCUCAAGUGUCACCCCAAACUUCAUGAAUAACAAUCUAGCUCCUGGAGUUUUUAUGAAAUUCAACAUAGUUACUCAGAAUUCUAUUGUAUCUGAAGUGUAUGGGUAUGAAGAACUGAUGGAGAAGGGAGGGGAGGUAUUCUUGUAUCUGCUUUGCUUGAAUUGCCAAUUUACAUGGAAAUGCCAGUAGGCACUUAUUGAACCACUGAGUUCCAGACAAACUCUCCCUGCCCCUACUAUGUGGUCAUCAUCAUCCUACAUUCUUAUGGUAACAGAAUUAAUUUUUAUUUAGUAAUCAGAUUAGUAACUGGCAUGAAGUAGCCCAGAGGCAUGAAGAACAAAAAUUGACUAACAACAACCAUGACUUUGAAAUAUUGACUAAUUCAUUAAUUUCACCUGUUAAAAUCACCUUUAUUUAAGGAUUCAAUAAAAUGAACCCAUUUUAGUAUGGAGUUCAAUAAGUUUUGAACUCAUUGGCUCACCAUCCUAAUCAAAAUAAGGAAUAUUUUACCAUACCCAAAAUUUCCCUCAUGCUCUGCUGAUCUCAUCUUAACUUGACGAUAUUUGCAAAGACCUUAUUUCUAAUUAAGGUCAUGUUCUGAUGCACUGAGGUUAAGACUUAAACAUAUCUUUCACCAUCACUCUCCUUUUCCUGAGAGUAUUCCUUAUGAAAAAUAAUCCCUGUUCAGUGACAGAACUGUUCAAGCAGAUUCAGGAAUCACAAGUAAAUUUUAUGAACAGGAAGUUCAAGUUCCCCUGUCACCUCUCUCAAAAAACAUUUAUGGUUUCUGGGCCGUUUCCUUCAACAAUUAACAGAACUCAAUAUAUAACUUCUAAGCAAGAGUGAAUCAUCGCUACACUAAACCUUCUUAGAGGUGGUCAUGAGGAAAAGUUAAGAGAAAUCUUCCCAGUUGGCAGAGUUGCAAGCCAUGCAUUUGUAUAUUUGUGCUGUGUGAAUAAAGAAUUGAGCUAAAGGGUGGAUAUCCAUGGACUUACGGGCCAUGGUGAAUAGUCUGGUUAUCCAGAGAUGUUGAAAAAUCAAGAUUUAGCAACCAGAAACAAAGACUUUUGAGGGAGAGACACACUGGAUAGACUUAUGGGAGUGGGCGCACAGACUGAGAAUCAUCACGUCUCAUGUCCCACCAGCAUCUACCUCACAGGAGUCACUAAAUAUCAGCUGCAUAAGAUGACUCAACCCAUGGACACUAGCCAGUCUUUCUCCUUGGUUAUCCUAGUACUUACACAGUGGGCCUAUGAACAGAGUAGCGAUAAUGGCAGGAAUAGAGGCUGCCUGUUGGUAGGGCUGAUAAUUUCUGACUACCUUCUUGCUAGCAGAGAUCAGCACUAAGCCCUUGAUUUGAUAUCAUUCCUCAGAAAGACCAGGUAUCAGAGUUCCUGUCAUGGUCCAGUGGAAACGAAUCCGACUAGGAACCAUGAGGUUGCGAGUUCGAUCCCUGGCCUCGUUCAGUGGGUUAAGGAUCUGGCGUUGCUGUGAGCUGUGGUGUAGGUCACAGAUGCAGUUCAGAUCUGUUGUUGCUGUGGCUCUGGCGUAGGCCAGCAGCUGUAGCUCCAAUUAGACACCUAGCCUGGGAACCUCCAUGUGCUGCGGGUGUGGCCCUAAAAAGGACAAAAGACAAAACAAAACAAAACAAAACAAAAAAAAAGAAAGAAAGACCAGGUAUUCACUUAGGGGCAGGUUGCUUAUAUCAGACCAUUCAACCCUGGAAUUGUCAAUCCAUUUCUCAUUUUUCAUAUAUGAGUUUCCUUUAUCUGCAGUGCCUCUGUGAACGCUAUUCUUUGAGGGCUUUGAAUGCUUGAUUUACCAACAUCAGAUCUGUGUAACUUUGGUUCAGAUACUUUUUCUCAUAUGAGAGGUAUGACUAAGGAUAAAUGACUACCUAUGUGAUCCUCUCUUACCGUCUUGUGUACAUUAUGCUUAUUAAACUUAUUAAGAGCUCAGUUAAGGUACCAACUUGAGUAUCACACUCUACAAGGUGUAGGAUCUGUUCUCAAGGAUGCAGUUUAUGCAUUGAACUAAUGACAAAUAGUUUUUCUAUGUGCUCAGAAGCUGAACUAUGUGGAUUUGGAAAUUAUGUAUAGACGUCGGAUUGACUGUCUCACUGUCUCUUCCAGUGAUUCAAUUUAUGGAAUUCGUUUCUCAUAUAUGCAAUCUUAGGAUCUGCUAGAUUAACAGUUCACCUCAGGGCUGGUAAAGUAAUGCUUUGACCAAGGGAUAUAAUAAUGGAUCCACUGAGCCUGAAAUUAUGACUUCCACUUGGAUAUUUUGGUAUCCUUGAGCUAUUGAAUUAGUAAAGAAGGGAAUUACCUACCAUGCUGGUUGGGGAAUUCAUCCUUAUUUCAGUAAGCUUUAUCAUCAUAUUCCAGUGAAGAUCUAGGAUUAUCCCUACACAAGUGAGGGUGGAAAGUAGGUCUAAAAUCCAGGGAACUCACGAAGUCAUCUUUUGAUACCUUUGAACUCAGUGAUUACCACACACUGAAAAUAAUAGCAACCAUAGCCCAAGGGUAAAACAUUUGAGGACUCUGAAACCUCAGGAUUAAAGGUCUGGGUUACCCUGACAGGCAAGCAAAUUAGAUCUAUUGCUGAUCAGAUCAAGUGUUAAGAGUAUGACAACCCAGAAUGAGUAAUGCAAUAGUUAAAUAAUUGCGCAUGUCCCCUUGUUUUGUGCUCUGACUUUUGAGUGAGCAUAGGCUAAAACGCUUAGAAAUUGAUGAAACCUAUAGAGAUUCAGACUAAUGGGAUUUACUUUCUCUUCAUCCUUAUCCUUUUUCCUCCCCAUCAUUCUUGUUUUGUUCCAUUUUGUGAUCUUUUAGGUUCUGUGCUAGUCUGUAUCCAACGUCCCCUCCUUAUAUCUUGUUUGGGAUAUUAUUUGGAAAGUAUUCUGAAUCUCUGUAAGUUUUUUUAACUUAUGAAAUAUGUAAGGCAUAUAGAAAAGCAUAGAGAAUAAUAUUACAAACAUCCAUUAUACCCAGCAACUAUAUGUUGCAGAUGCCAUUAAAGCCACUUCUUUUCUUUCUUUUUUAAUUUUUAUGGCCACAACCAUGGCAUUAUGGACAUUCCCUGGAUUGAAUCCAAGCCACAGCUACAAUCUACCAGAGCUGCAGCAAUGCCAGAUCCUUUAAACCCACUGCUCUGGGCCCAGGAUCGAACCAUUGCCUCUGCAUUUAUUAAGCUGCUGUAGUCAGGUUCUUAACCCACUCUGCCACGGUGGGAACUCCAAAGCCAUUUAAAUGCUUUGAGAACCACUGUGCUCCCCUCAGAGAUAACUACCAUGCUGAAACUAGUUUAUAUAUUUCCAUAUGUAUGUAUUCAUAGUAGUAUAUAGCUUUAUGUGUUUAAAAAUUAAAUUAUAUCACAUGGUAUAUAUUUUUCUCCAUAAUUUAUUUUCAUUCAACAUGUUUUGAGAUACAUUGUUGAUUAGCCUGGAUUUUUUUUUUUUGCAUUGAUUUUUUUUCUAGAGGUAGAUAGGGUGCUGUGGGGUUUUCUUGAUAAUUAGCUUAAUUGUCAAUUUUCUAACAUCAGUAACUCUUUAUAUAAUUCUAGAAUGUUUCAUUCUUACUAGCAGAACUCCUUGUAAUUCUGGAACAAAAGCAACUCACUUUAUUCCAGCCUAAGACAUGCAUCAGAGAAUGCAGGGCUGCUGUAAAAGGAUGACUUAUUUUAUUUCUUAUAAAGUAUUGUGGUGCUGGGGUUCAGGAGAAUUCUCCUCGAUUUCAGCUUUGCAAGAAAAUAAAUUCUAGGUUGAGACCCAGAAAAUUUUACAGAGGUUAUUGACUCUUACCCAAUUGUUUGCCAAUAAUUAUUGAAUAUAAAUUAGUUCUGUCUGCUUUUGUUGUCUUUUUCCAAGAGAAUUUCCCAUUCUUACUUCUAGCAAAUAUGUUAUAAAGGAAAGCAAUAAAAAAAAAAGAUGAACAAGACUUCAUUGGGUAACUAGGAAAUAAUUCUCAAAUUCUUACAGAGAGCUAGCUCAGUAACUGAAAAGGAUCAAUAAACCCACAACUAACAUCAAACAACAGCACCUCUCUUAAACCUAACAACUAUACCGUGGAGCUACUGUGCUAUAUACUUUCUUUAUUCUUAGAAAAAAUUUAUCUUCAGAGUUUUAGUAGAAAAUUGACAGAACGCUGUAAACCAGCUAUAAUGGAAAAAAAUUUAAUCGUUAUAUAUUAAAAAAAAAGUCUAAUAAAGUCCUUAUAAAACACUUACUCUCCAAAAAUUCAGAGUCCAUGUCAAUCUCUGAAGUUUUAAUAUUUCCAUGCAAGAGAAUCCUCUAGACCUGCUUUCAUGAUCUUUAUUAGUCUUCCAAAGAGGUCUCUGUAUUGGGGGCCUCAGAGCAAGUGGUAGCUAGUAAUUUUACCUCUCUAGUUUAUAGCCCAUUGCCCUUCUAAUAAAAAUGGUCAGGCACUGUCAGAUACACUUAGUUCUAUCCAGUCACAUAGCAGUGAACAAUAUAUUCAGGACAAAUUCAGAUGUAAACAAAAGUGGUAUAAAAGUAACUAAUAGGGUUUUAUGAAGCUCUGCUUGUUUACUCUGGCACAAAUGAUGAUAAGAAAAACAAUCUGAACUGUGAAUGAAUCGCACCAUUGUCAAUGCCAUAUAAAGACUCUGUUCAUUUUGUGUUUGUUGUGUAGGUGUCAGAUAUCCUAUAUUUUUUAGUUCAUAGAUCUCCAGAUUAAGAGUAGUUGCUUCCAAUGAUUUGCCUUUGGACAUGAUGUAAAUCAUGAGUCCUUUCUAUAUUGGCUUUUUUCACUUGGUAAUAUGUGUAUAAGUUUCUUCCAUGUCUGUUUAUGGCUUGAUAGCUUAUUUCUUUUUUUUUUAUGACUGAAUAAUAUCCAUUGUUUGGCUGCAACACAAUUUAUUUAUCUACCUACCCACUGAAGGACAUCUUGGUUGUUGUCAAGUUUUUGCAAUUACAUAUGAACUGCUAUAAACAUCUAAGGACAGGUUUUUGUGGCAUACAUUUUCAAUUCCUUUGGACAAAUACCAAAAAGCAUAAUUGCAGGAAAUUAUUCUAAGGGAUAUAUAUAGUUUUGUUAGAAACCACCUAACUGUCUCUCAAAUGCUGCACCAUCUUGCAUUCUCAUCAGCAGUGAGAGUUCCUAUUGCUGUAAAUCCUCACCAAAAUUUGGGCUGUCCAGUGUUCUGGGUUUUGGACAUUCUAGUAGGUAUAUAGUAAUACCUCAUUGUUUUAAUGUGCAUUUCCCUGAUGACGUACAAUAUGGAGCAUCUUUCACACUUGUAUGUCAUCUGUAUAUCCUUUUUUUAGCUACAUUUUUAUUUCAAAAGGAAUCUUCAUAUUUUAAAACAAUUGAUGUAGGCAUAGUUUAAAACUACUGAGCUAGAUAAUACCACUAAGAUAUUAGAGUUGGACUAUGCCCACAGUUCAGUUACUUAAUUCGAAAGAAAGGUGCUAGCGUUAGAGACUGAGACCAACACUUGGUUUGGGGACAGUUGAUCAUGUCCCUGAGACAUGCCACAUAUUUUCAUACAGCACUGGUUGGCUGCAGGCUUACUGUUACUCCCUCCUAUGAGGGAGUCUCUUGGUCGUAUGGAGGAAAGUGAUAAAAAUCCUGCCAGUAUAAUAGUGCAAGGACAACCUGAAGAUCAUUACUAUACACAUAAAAAAUGCUUGUUUGCCAUAGAAAAAUUUCAUUCUGAAGUUGCUAAAGGGACUAUCAGUGAUGUACAGGGUCUGAAGGGCCUACUCUUGCCCCUAAGAGUUGAAUGUUAAAAGCUCAAAUCCUGGCAAUGUUGCUAGUAGAAGGGGAGGAGCAGAAAAUGCACAUAAAGUCUGAAGAAGGAAAAAGACUAGGAAGGAGCAGAGAUGCAUCCCAGCUGCGAUUGAAUUUAAUGAGCUGAAAUGUGAUUUGACCAAAAAAGUAAAGAAAAUGUUACAUCAACCUCUGAACUCUUAAGAUUUUAGUAUCAUCUAGUAGCAUUGUGAUAGAGUAAUAUUUUCAAAAUGUUAACUUACAUUCCUUCUCCUUUUCAAGCAGAUAAUAGCCUAUAGACUAUGUAGAGCAGAAAGCCCAUCAAUUUAAGUCUCUUUCUGAAUUAUUUGUUCAAAAAUCCUUGGUCUUUAAGGUAACAUGGACAAAAAUAUUCUCAAUAACUACGCUAGAGAACCAAAAUUUAAGGAAAGUGGGUCUUCUCCUAGAGCUUUAAAAAUUAAUUUCCAGCUGAAGGGAAGAAAUAUCUAGAAGCGACUGUUGAGAUAAGAGACCUGGGUGGGUCCCACACGGGUGCCCUGGUAGUCGUUAGUGCUGGUUGUCCCAUAUGUCUGGUUAUACGCAGUCCCUAAUUCUACUCAAUAUAUUGCCCCUACUUUAGGAAACACAGUAGUAUUACAUUUAUCUGUUCUCUUCAGAUUGGACAUGGCCAUAUGACUUACAGUAACAAAUGCAAUAUGGCAAAGGAAAAUUUAAGAGAUACAGUAUGACUCGCCACCUUCCCUUCCCAUUGGGGUGGUUUUCGUGAGAACAUGUGUUGAGGUGAAGUCUGAGUCCCUCAGUGAGUACCAGGCACAAAGCUUCCCUGACAAGCUGCACUGGACACAGUGAUUGAGAAAUUGACUUCUGUUGUGUAAAGCAGUUGAGGCUUUAAAGACGUGUGUGUGUGUGCAUGUGAUUUCAUCAGGCCUUCAAAAUAGACCCCUCAGUUGCUAUCCGAACUCUAGCUGGUGGAAUGCUCAGGAUCUGAGUUCGCAUUUCCUGGAUUGGAAUCUCAGCUCUGCCACUGACUAACUGCGGUCUUGAACAAAUUGUUUGUUUUUCGGUACUUUAGUUUCCUCAUUUGUAAAUUAGAAGCAAAAUUAAUAUUUUGCACAGUGUUAUUGAGAAUUAAAUAAAUGAAUAUUGGUAAAGUGUUAAGGAUAGUUUCUAUCACACAGGUAACAUGUAAAUGUUAGGUUCUCCUCUCCUCUGCUCUCCUCUCCUCUUUUCUCUCUCUCUCUCUCUUUUUUUUUAGGGAAAAAAUGACCAUUCAUUUUAUUUUUUUUCUUUUUUAAAAAAUUGAAUAUAGUUGAUUUACAAUGUAUCAGGUACACAGCAAAGACAUUCAGUUGUACAUGUUUAUAAUAAAUAUCCACUUUCUUUUAGAUUAUUUCCCAUUUUUUAUUCAACGAAUUUAUUGCAUAUGUAGUUGUAUAAUGAUCAUAACAAUCAGAUUUCACAGGAUUUCCAUCCCAUAGCCCAAGCACAUUCCCCCACCCCCCCAAACUGUCUCCUCCGGAGACCAUAAGUUUUUCAAUGUUUGUGAGUCAGCAUCUGUUCUGCAAAGAAGUUCAGUCUGUCCUUUUUUCAGAUUCCACAUGUCAGUGAAAGCAUUUGAUGCUGGUGUCUCAUUGUAUGGCUGACUUCGCUUAGCAUGAUAAUUUCUAGGUCCAUCCAUGUUGCUAAAAAUGCUGGUAUUUCGUUCCUUUUAAUGGCUGAGUUAUAUUCCAUUGUGUAUAGGAACCACAUCUUCUGGGUCCACUCCUCUGUCGAUGGACACUGAGGUUGUUUCCAUGUCUUGGCUAUUGAAAAGAGUGUUGCAAUGAACAUCGGAGUACAUAUGUCUUUGCGAGUCAUGGUUUUCUCUGGGUAGAUGCCCAGGAGUGGGAUUGCUGGAUCGAAUGGUAGUUCUAUGUUUAGUUUUCUGAGGCAUCUCCAUACUGCUUUCCACAGUGGUUGCACCCAUUUACAAUCCCCGCAACAGUGUACUAGGGUUCCUUUUUCUCCACACCCUCUCCAGGACUUAUUGUUUGUAGACUUUUGGAUGCUGGCCAUUCUGGCUGGUGUAAGGUGGUACCUCAGAGUGGUUUUGAUUUGCAUUUUUCUAAUAAUGAGUGAUGCUGAACAUCUUUUCAUGUGUUUUUUGUCCGUCUGUAUGUCUUCUUUGGAGAAGUGUCUGUUUAGAUCUUCUGCCCAUUUUUUGAUGGGGUUUGGUUUUUUUCUGUAUGGAGCUGCAGAAGGUGUUUAUAAAUUUUGGAGAUGAAUCCCUUGUCCAUUGAUUCACUUGCAAAGAUUUUCUCCCAUUCUGUGGGUUGUCUUUUCAUGUUGUUUAAGGUUUCCUUUGCUGUGCAGAAACUUUGAAGUUUGAUUAGGUCCCAUUUGUUUAUUUUUGUUUUUAUUGUCAAUACUCUAAGAGGUGGAUCUGAGAAGAUGUUGCUGUCGUUUAUGUUACAGAGUGCUUGGCCUAUGUUUUCCUCUAAGACUUUUAUAGUGUCUGGUCUUAUAUCUAGGUCUUUAAUCCAUUUGGAGUUUAUUUUUGCGUGUGGUGUUAGGGAGUGUUCUAAUUUCAUUCUUUUCCAUGUGGCUGUCCAAUUUUCCCAGCACCACUUGUUAAACAAGCUGUCUUUUCUCCAUUGUAUAUUCUCUUUUUUCUCCCUCUCCCUCCCUCCCCCACUUUUCUUCUCAUGCCAGACCUUCCCUAAGAGAUAAUCCGUGACAAAGAAAUGAACAAAAUAUUAACCUCCAAGGAUUUUAAAUAGUAGCUUAAUUCAUUUGAAGUUUUUUAAAACGUAUCAAAUUAGAAUGUUAAUGAGAAUAAUAGAAUACCUCCUUUCAUCAUAACUGCUUAACUGUAUUUAUUGCAUUUAUGUGCUUGCCCUUGUGAGAUAACUAGACAUUUAAUAUUACCUGACUUCCCAGUAACCAGCUUCAUGCAAGAAUUUCCCUCUCUAAUCACGCUCUUGCUUUCCUCUCUUCCCCAGGCGGUGAGGUGGGAGGAGGGGGAGGGCAGGGUGGGCACCAAACAUUCGAGAAGAGAGCUAACUAAUUAACUUUUAAACUUGGUUUCAUCUUCUUCCCCACAGUGGAUCUAGAAACCUCCCUAAGCUACCUGGGUGAGUGCUGCAGAUUUGAAAGCAAUCUUUUAAUAUAUUCACUUGAUUUUAAAGACAGAAACCUCCCUGGAACAUUUAACCACAGGUACCCACUUUUGCUUUUCUGAGUGGCUGCUCCCUGAACUUCUCUGAAGCUGCUGUUAGAGGUGGUUAGGAUAUAUUUCCAAAGAUUCAAGUUAUGUGCUGGACUAUUAAGUCUUUGAGGUCCCAGAAAAACCACAAAGGAUUGCUGGUGUCAGGACUGAGGGAGAAACAAGCUUUGAAAUAUAGGAGAUGAUAAAAAAGCAAAGCCUCUGCAGGUAUGUCUUCCCAAUCAGAUAAAAAUACAAACCAAAUGGACAAUAAAGGCAGGCUUUGCAAAGCUCUUGCCUGUGGGGUGGAAAAGUUGGGGAGGGGAGGGUCAGCGAAAGGGGGAUAAAAACCCUCCUGGUGCAUUUAAACCUAAAACCCGAUGUUUAAUUAUAGCAUUACCACAAAAUUUUUUCAAGUCCAUGUUGGUGACCAAAAAGGGACACAGGUGGACAUUUUAGAGAACCCUAGAUAUAGAAGCUUUGUUCUCUGUUUAGAAAGUCUCUCAAAACCCUUGGUUCUAAAUCACAGGUUUCAUCUACAUGGCUCAUCAAAAGAUCACAAAUUUCACUUUUUCCUCCAGAAUGCUGGAUGAGAACAUUCAACCAGAAAUAAGGUCACUGGCAAAGUGAUUCAGGGCUUAUUGGAUUCUUAAGGUUGUUUUCCAGGGAUAUUUAUAAGAGAAAUGUAAUUUUUGGAAAGAAAAAUAUGUUGUGAAUUGAUGACAGUUCUUUCUGGCCCCAGAUCUUUAUUAAGGCAAAAGCAUUGCAGCCACACAGAAGAAUCUGAGUCUCAGCUUUAACUUUUUUCACAUAAAAAUGCACCAACCUCAGUAUUCUGUAGAAAGACCUAGAGUUUUUAGUGCCUUUAGUUUUGUGGUUUCCUGAUUUACAUGGGGCUUUGUGCAUAAAUAUGCAGCUCCCCACUUCCUGAAUGAAAAUAGGCUUUCCUAUUUUAUGGGCCUGCAUACAUUGUACUGAAUUUCUCCACAAAGGACAAAAUUUAUGUUGAAGGCUGAUCCAAGGGAAAUUGACCUGAAAAGAUUUCUCCAAAAGUAGCAGAAGUGCCUACUUUAAUCGUAGAUCCUGGUGGAUGAGCUGAGUAGAUAAGUUCAUAAGACAUAUAUUAAUGACAAUAAUAUGAACACUUUUAUUAAAAAUCAAUCAAAUUAGGAAAUUAUAGAUCACAGAGAGCACUAUCCAUUUAUCAUGACUUUUUAUGUAGAAUUUUCUGUUUACCACCACUGAAAAAUUAGUCAUGAUUCAGGACAUCUUCAAAAACAUACUUAAGGAGACAACCCCUAAAUGUUCCAUAGUCUCAGCCUUGCUUUCUAAGUAUGGUUAUCUUAAACACGGAUCUUUCUCAACAGAGUCAGUUAAGAGCAAAUAUGACUUCAUUUUGCCCUACUUCAUGUUUUUUCUCUGGUCUUAUUACAACCCCUUUGCUCUUGGUGAAAAUUUUAUAUCGUCCUUCCUUUCCUUUCAUCAUCCUUCCUACCUUCUUUGCCCUCUUCCUCCUCCUCCCCUUCCUCCUCCACUUCCUUCUCUAAUGCUGCUGUAGAGGAGCUGCUAUCGUAGUAAAAUUCCAGACUAAGAAACUUCUAUCAUUUUAAGUCUCCUUGUGGACUUGUGAUAGAGCUGCAGUGAUAAGGAGGCUAUUAGAGUUGAUUGAUUCAUCAAACAAGAGCUGUGGGCAAAUAUCUGAAAUGAGUAGUGUUGGGAAACAUAAAGCACACCAUCUCCAUCCAGAGAAUUUACAAAACUGUAGGUUGUAAAGGCAGGUAGGAGUUUGGGUUAAUUUUUCAAAAUCCUUCUCGACUUUGUCACUUAGAAAGAGAUACCUCAUCCAACCAUACCCCACAAAGAAGGAGAGUUUAAGGGUUUCAAUAUCUGUUUUUUGUCUAUUUGAAAUUACUUUGUUUCUGAACAAAAACUAUCUUUCAGCAAAUGGGAAUUUCUAUUAAAUUCACUCUAUUCAUAAUGCAUUCAAAAUCUAAUAUAUAAUUUUCCUAAACCAUUUUGGGAGAAAUAUUGAAAACCUCACGUGAUGAUAUGAAAAUAGUAUUUGAAUGAAAACAUCGCUGUGGAAAACUGGUAUGCAUGAGUAUGACAUUUCUCAUUUGACUAUAGUUAACCAUAGAUGCUGUUAAGCUGGGUUUACAUAGUGCACCCAGUGACAGUUUUAAAGUCAGUUGGAUUUCAUGGGUUUGUUUUGUUUUGUUUUGUUUUUAACCAAGUUUGUUUUUUAAGCAAAUUGAUUGGUUAAAGGGUCAGGGUGGUUGUAUGGUUCGUGUAAAACAACUCUAGACCUAUAGUGAGAUUUGGACACAUGAUCCUUACAAUGAUUCGGUAUAACUUUGAUGGCCCUUUUGAUUUCCCUUUACUUUGAGGUUGUUUGUGUUUUUCAUGAACUCUGUAUUGAUGAAGCAACUCAAAAUAUAUUUGCCACAGUAGGAUAGUUUUCCUAACCAACUUACUUUUCCAACACAUUAUUUUUCUUUCAUCUGCUUAAGGAAUUAUAUUGUUUUUAAGGCUAAAUUCUUCAUCCUGACAUUCAAGGCUUUAUGGAACUAUCUCUGAUAAAUGUCUGGGGAGGGAGUUAGGUACUAAGCACUCAUUCUUGUGCCUCGUCUGCCUUAUCUUGUGUGGCAGAGGCUACAAGCCUCAGAACUACAUUUUCAGACCACUUUUUCUCCUUUGUUUUGGAUAGAUUGGCUCUUUACCUAGUAGUCACACUUAUGUAAGAUUUAGAAAGAAGAAGAGAGGCAGAAGUUUUCUGGUACUUUUUCUGACACCAGACCAUGGGCUUAUAGAAAUGAGUUUUCUAACGAUCUCUGUUUUCUUCUGCUAUUCACCUACCACAGGUAUGUGGAGACACUAUCAAGUGUUACUGGUUUUCUGCCAGUUGUAAACUUCUGGACAUGAGUUUCUGACUCUGUCCAGGCCUUUCCAUGAUUUGUAAGUUCUGUACAAUAUAUUCUUUUAUGUUUUAAAUACACAGAAUGGCUUAUGGUUUUCUAACUGAACCCUGACUAUGUAAUAUAAACCCUCAUUUGAUAAAGAUGCCUGAAACCAAAGGCAAAACAUAGACCUACUCUGUGCUUCAGUGGACCCUCUUGUCUCUCCAUAUCUUUAUCCAUUCAAAUUCAUCUGAGUCUGCCUCCAUGCAACAUUUCCACCUACUGAGCUCCCAUUAAAUCCAUAUUUCUUAACUCUUUCAGUGGUAGUAGCCUAUAGAGAACAAUUUUUGAACCUCAGUUUUAAUCCUCUUCUGUAUUGUUCUUUUUAUAAAAUCAUGUUUUUCUUUUUAGUAUCCCCCUUUACAUUGUAAGCUCCAAGAGAACAAGUCUACUUUAAAUGUUUUUUCUUCUGGUUCCUUGACAGAGGCAACACAGUGUGACAUGCAUAAUGGAAUUACA